rnacentral:rRNA from 1 species
UGAGGAAUAUUGGUCAAUGGGCGAGAGCCUGAACCAGCCAAGUAGCGUGCAGGACGACGGCCCUAUGGGUUGUAAACUGCUUUUAUGUGGGGAUAAAGUGCGUGACGUGUCAUGCAUUGCAGGUACCACAUGAAUAAGGACCGGCUAAUUCCGUGCCAGCAGCCGCGGUAAUACGGAAGGUCCGGGCGUUAUCCGGAUUUAUUGGGCGUAAAGCGAGCGCAGGCGGUUAGAAAAGUCUGAAGUGAAAGGCAGUGGCUCAACCAUUGUAGGCUUUGGAAACUGUUUAACUGGAGUGCAGAAGGGGAGAGUGGAAUUCCAUGUGUAGCGGUGAAAUGCGUAGAUAUAUGGAGGAACACCGGUGGCGAAAGCGGCUCUCUGGUCUGUAACUGACGCUGAGGCUCGAAAGCGUGGGGAGCGAACAGG